rnacentral:rRNA from 1 species
AACGAACGCUGGCGGCAGGCUUAACACAUGCAAGUCGAACGCACCGCAAGGUGAGUGGCGCACGGGUGAGUAACGCGUGGGAAUGUACCGUUUAGUACGGAAUAGCUCCGGGAAACUGGAAUUAAUACCGUAUACGCCCUUCGGGGGAAAGAUUUAUCGCUAAACGAUCAGCCCGCGUGAGAUUAGGUAGUUGGUGGGGUAAUGGCCUACCAAGCCUACGAUCUCUAGCUGGUCUGAGGGGAUGAUCAGCCACACUGGAGCUGAGACACGGUCCAGACUCCUACGGGAGGCAGCAGUGGGGAAUAUUGGACAAUGGGGUAAACCCUGAUCCAGCCAUGCCGCGUGAAUGAUGAAGGCCUUAGGGUUGUAAAGUUCUUUUACCGAUGAAGAUAAUGACGGUAGUCGGAGAAAAAGCCCCGGCUAACUUCGUGCCAGCCGCCGCAGUAA